AAUUCUCUCACCACAAUUUCCCUCACUUUUCCACUAAUCAGAAAAGCUAUCAUUCUCUCUCAUCUUAUUUCUUUCUCUCUCUCUCUCUCUCUCACCCGUACCUCCCUCUUCUUUGCAACUACAAGGACUUUCAUCAAACACUCACAUAUCGAACUUAAAAACACCACCAUCGUGACCUUCUCAUCCUCAUGAACCCAGCCAUACUAACUGAUUCUCAAAUGAUCGAGUUUUGACCCGUCAACUUGGAGGAUCCAACUCGGUGAGUUUUCCUCAGACGAGUUUCAGGCCGAGUUACAAGGUUUUAGGACGUGGGGAAGCUUCCACACAACUCCGUAGAGUCCCUAGGCUAAGUUUGGAGUGAAGACAACAUCGAGAAGCACGAUUUCAAGGAGUCGAUUUUAGGUCAAGACUUUCAAGGCUUUUUAAAGCCAUUUUCCGUCUAUUUUUUGGCCUUUUAAAGAAACCAACGACCUUUUUCCAGUUUCCGGCGAAACCAGAUGGCAACGGCAGCGGUGGCAGACGGCGAGAAUCACUGGAGAUGACGAGGAAUAUUCCGUCAAAGUUGACGGAAUAUUCUAACGACGUCAGGUCCUAGUCAGUUGAAUUCUCUGUGGCAUUCGAGGAAUAUCCGGCGAUUCUGAUAUAUCUUUAUUUAACGUAGGAACUUUUUCGGUUUGUGUAAGCACUUUUCUAGUCCCGACUGCUUUACUUUUAUGUUAUCUAGGCUCUGAACAUUUGUAUUUUAUGGGUUCUACCCACUACUGCGCACUCACUUUAUUAGUUUAAAUUAGUUCUAGUUUUGGUUU